rnacentral:tRNA from 1 species
CGGGGAGUGGCGCAGCUUGGCAGCGCGCCUGCUUUGGGAGCAGGAGGUCGCCGGUUCGAAUCCGGUCUCCCCGACCA